rnacentral:rRNA from 1 species
CCUACGGGAGGCAGCAGUAGGGAAUCUUUCACAAUGGGCGAAAGCCUGAUGGAGCAACGCAGCGUGCAGGAUGACGGCCUUCGGGUUGUAAACUGCUUUUAUAAGCGAGAUAUAUGAUGGUACCUUAUGAAUAAGGAUCGGCUAACAACGUGCCAGCGGCCGCGGUCAUACGUCGGAUUCGAGCAUUAUCCGGAGUGACUGGGUGUAAAGAGUUGCGUAGGUGGCAUAAUAAGUAGCGAGUGGAAUCUGGGGGCUCAACCAUUCAGACUAUUAGCGAAACUGUUAAGCUCGAGACCGUUAGGGGUAACUGGAAUUUGUAGUGUAGGAGUGAAAUCCGUAGAUAUUAGAAGGAACACCAAUAGCGUAGGCAGGUUACUGGGACGGUUCUGACACUAAGGCACGAAAGCGUAGGGAGCAAACGGGAUUAGAUACCCUUGUAGUC